rnacentral:lncRNA from 1 species
UUGCUCCCAGACUUCGUUGGUUUGCUGGCAAUCUUUGGUUUCUCCCUGUAUGCAUCUAUGUCAAUCUAAAUUUCCUCUUUUAUAAGAAAGUCAUAUAGGAUUGGGAACCCCGAACCCCUGCACUCCAGGAUGACUCAUCUUAAGUAACUAUAGUUGCAAUUAUCUUCUUGCUAGAUAAGAUCAUAUAUUGAGGUUAAAAUGUCAAAAUAUGAUUUGGGGGGCACAAAUCACCUCAUUGCCAGCAGCAUGCCUGUUCUCAUGCCCUCCUCACCAGCUGGCCCUACCAACUGCUCAGCAGGCAGACUCUCCACCCUUCCUUGUAGCAUGAGGUCAGCCACUUUAUAUUUCUGUUUUAAACUCUAGGAAUGGAGGUUUGGAACCUCCAACCAAAUAGAGGAAGAGAAGAAGAGAAGGACAAGGAUACUCUAAGAAAAAUGAGGGGUGGGGAUUAGAGAAUAAAUGCAUGGUAAGUUGCAUGGUGGCCUCCACAAGAGGUGUCCACAUCCAAAUCCCCAGAAUCUGUGAACGUGACCUUAUUUGCAUAUGCAACUAAGAGUCUUGAGAGCAUCCUGAGUUACCCAGAUGGCUCCAAAUCUUAAGAAAAGUGACCUUGUAAGAGACAGAAGAAGAGACAACGUAGACACAAAGGAUAAGACAAUGUUGAGACAGAGACAGAAAACGAUGUCAUACAGAAUGCCAGAAUCUAGCUGGGCACAAGGAAGGGUUCUCUUCCAGAGCCUCCAGUAGGAGCUCAACCCUGCCAACACCUGGACUUCAUACCUCUGGCCUCUGAACUAUGAGAAAACACAUUGCUGAUUUUUUAAAGCUGCCUGUUCAUGGUCUUUUGCUAAUUACAGGAAAACAAUGCAGAAGGAAUGAAGGAAUUGUCCUUUGCAGGGACCACAUUGAAGCCCACAUUCCCCUCCAGCUCUGCUAUAUCCCCUGCUGAUCCUGCCACCUUUCCUGAGGGACAGAUUCUUAAGGAAUGUCAGUAUUUGGCUCAUAUCUGCUCACCUCGGCUACUACACCUGCAUUCAGGCACUCAAACCAGUACUUGACCUCAGCAAUUUAUCU